AUGUCCUUAACACAGCUUUCAAAAUCCCCUGUAAAACCUAAGCAAACACAAGUUGUUGAUAAUUUUUGCCACGAAGAACUUACCAUAUCCCACUGUGACGCCCACCACAUAGAACUCAUGACAGAAUCAAAAAAACUAAUAGUGAAGAAUUCAAUCAAAGAUCACGACAUGAAAGCACAACAAAGCAUAUUGCAGAUUCUGUAA